AUGCUCUUACAUGCAAAGAGUGCCGAGGAACGAAGAGACCAGAAGGAAAACAAAACCAAGCCAAACGAACUCACGGGUCCACAAGGAUACGCUGGCUGCAGUACACACCUUGAAACUUUGUGGGUGUCUCAGUUGUGCCACAGCAGUUUGAGCAGGCAGUGCUUAGCCAGGACUCCUGGGCCAGCCUUUUCAGGGGCCACAGUGAAACACGGAAUCAUCUCGGGGAUGCUGUUCGGCCCCAGGUGCCGUUUACUGCUACAUUUAGAGGUGUUUGAAAUCUCCUUUGGCAUCCUACAAUAAUCUUCAGGUGCCCUUGUAGUUAUCUUUGAGGAUUAUUUUAUACUGGAUGAAACAGAGUGGCGUUAAUGCACAGAUGAAAGACUAACCUGCAAUUAAACUGUGGAAUCAUUCACGCACCUUAAUGUCCUAAGCAUGUGAGAGUUUCAGGAUUUAGAAACAAACUUGGUUUUUAAAUCUUCUUUCCCUGGCUCCCUUGAUCUUUGUUUUUCUCACUUAAAAAGGGAAGAGGAACAUAUAGAAGAAUAAAGCUGGAAAAUGGGAAUGUAAAGGCAACGUCAAUUCUUUAAAAUAUUUCAUCCUGAACAGAAUUUUAUUAAAUUCCUUUCAUUCCUGGGGCUCUACAAACCCCAAAUGACUUUGUUCAGGCCUUGCAUGGCAUGAAAUGUGCCCGCAAGAGAUGUGGCAUGUUAGAUAUUUUUAAUCUUGAAUCUAUUGAAGGGUCCUAGGUAAAUAUCACAGUCCUAGCUUCUGAAUCUCACUCAGCAAUGGGUGUUAUACCUUCUGGGAAAGGAUAUAAAUAACCUUACAAGACAAGAAAAAAGAAAGGUAGCCUGGAAAAGUCUUUUGUUCCAGAGAGUGAAAUGGUAGCACUGUUUAUAUUGACUAACACAUUCCCAUCUUCUAAAUCAUCUGUCAUUUCAGAUUUUGAAAAGAGCCUGAAAGUUGCAACAAAACAUACGUGAGUACAAGUCAUGAAUCUUGUUCUUGGUGUCAUAAUUUUGUACUGAUACAGUUUAUUUUCUGAGAUAAUAUUGGGAGGUGAGAAUGAGAGUUGUAUGGAGAAUCUAUAGGAUGCUGAUAAGUUGUUAAUAGCAUUUUGAACAGAGAAAAUAUUUUCUAGCAUGUUUCUAUGCCUUAUUGCAUGCUAAAUCCUGGAAUUUGUAAUUUAGAAAUCAAUAAUGAAGUUUUUUUCACAAAAUGAAAUUACAGAUAAUAUAUUUUAUUCCAUAUGCACAAUUUUCAUCUGGGUAAACAACAGCUGUGGCCAAACACCUGGAGUUACACUGGACAGCAUUUCAGCAGAAAUGUUCCAGCACUAUUAUAAAUCUGUGAAGAGGCACACCCUCUCUGAUAUACACUGUUUUUUCUAGACUCAAGUGGUUUAUUGUGCAGCUGGUUAUCUGAAACCUUCCCAAAGUAGUCCAAGCUAACAUAUCAGAAAAAAUAUUCUAUGUUUUCU
rnacentral:lncRNA from 1 species